AUUGAACGCUGGCGGCAUGCUUUACACAUGCAAGUCGGACGGCAGCACAGAGAAGCUUGCUUCUUGGGUGGCGAGUGGCGAACGGGUGAGUAACGCAUCGGAACGUACCGAGUAAUGGGGGAUAACUGUCCGAAAGGACAGCUAAUACCGCAUACGCCCUGAGGGGGAAAGCGGGGGAUCUUAGGACCUCGCGUUAUUCGAGCGGCCGAUGUCUGAUUAGCUGGUUGGCGGGGUAAAGGCCCACCAAGGCGACGAUCAGUAGCGGGUCUGAGAGGAUGAUCCGCCACACUGGGACUGAGACACGGCCCAGACUCCUACGGGAGGCAGCAGUGGGGAAUUUUGGACAAUGGGCGCAAGCCUGAUCCAGCCAUGCCGCGUGUCUGAAGAAGGCCUUCGGGUUGUAAAGGACUUUUGUCAGGGAAGAAAAGGGGCAUGUUAAUAC
rnacentral:rRNA from 1 species